rnacentral:lncRNA from 1 species
AGGAAGAGCUGCUAUUCUUGUCCCCAGACAACAUGAACCAGAUGCCAAAACAUGCUGCUAUUUAUUGCUGCUGUUACUUGAAAGAUAUCUAUGGGAAAAGAGAAGAUCCAGUGUGCAACAUUUUAGAAAGAUGCAACUGAAAAAGACAGCAUUUAUCUUAAACAUAUACUAUGCAUGAGCAGACGGUAGAAAUAUAAAUGGAGAUUCCAAUUGUCCUUGGGCUGCUAAAAUUUUUCAUAUAUAAAGAGGCCACUAUCUAAACUCAUAUCCAAUGUUAGAGAUGGAAAAAAGAAGAAGUUUGGAACAGAAGGAUGAAACAAAUACUUUGUAGGAGGUGAAGAAGGAAGAGAUGAAGGUGAAGAUGGAAUACAUUGAAAAGAUGGACAAAUGAACAAGAAAUUGAUGUGUGUGGUACAAAGAACAUGAAAAUUUACCUUACAAGAAGGGUAUUUUAUGCACGGAUUACCAGCUGUGCUCUAAUACAUAUGGCUGAUACAAGAUACUGUUAAGGUUUGGACAACACAAUCCUUUAAUGGGGAUAAAAAAUUCUUUCCUUUACGUCACUAUGAAGUCUAAGUAGAUCAGAAACAGGCCUAGGUCAGGAUCUGUUAGUACUGUUGAAUACUUCUAAAGCAGUAUCAGGUUAAUUUUAUGCUGAUGAUAUUUCUAAAUUAAAGUUUUGGGUUGGUGACUUUUAAAUGAAAGAAGAAAAUAUGUAUGAAUGAAGAAAAACAUCUAUUUGGUUUGCUGAGGACCUGCUGAUCAGUGGGUUGCUGAUGUGGAUUGACUGGGGUUAGAAAGUGAAGUAGAGCCGAUAGAGCUUUGGCAGCAAGUAUGUGUGCAAUACAAAACAGAAGCAGAGGGAACUCAUGACUUUAUUUUUCAGGAUCUUGCAACAGCAUGGGAGUAGUGGCAACACUGACAUGGCCAGGGCACCAGUAUCUAUCUGAAGAGAGAAGAACAAGACAGGGGACACAGAAUCUGAUGAAGUCCUGUCAUUGUGCUGUGCUUGCCUGGCAUGGCCGGAACUGGUGUACUUCAGACACCACACACCUGGGACGAGUACAUGGGCUAUGGCAGCUGCUCUCUAACAGGCAGAGCUUCCUACUGAAAUCAAUGGAAGGUUUGCUUAAAAAUCAAUUGGAAGGUUUGGCCCUGAAACAUAAGACAAUGGGGGCUCCUCAAUCAUAUCAAGAGAAGUGA